rnacentral:lncRNA from 1 species
GUCUCUCAUUCUUUUACUUGACUACUUCACACCGAAACCCUAGCCUCCCUUCCCUCUUUCUUCUAGAGCAAUCAUCGUCAUCUUCACCACUUAUUAAGGAUCAAUUAGAUGUUGAUCAAUCAGUACAGAAAUGAAUACAAAUAUAUACAAAUAUAUGUGAUUCGAAUAAAGGAAGAUGGUGACGUUGGUUGUGGCCUGAAGAGAAACGACGACGAAGAAUGGUUGAUUUAGGGUUCUUCAGUUCGGGUAAUGUGAUGGUUGAUUUAGGGAUUCUGAAACCGUAAGUUUUCUUCUCCCGUUUUACACUGAUUUCUUCAUCUGGCGAACUUCCAGGAAGAUGGUGAUGGUGGCCUGGAAAGGAACGAUGACAACGGCAUGUGUUGAUUUAGUGUUUCUCAAGUGGUGGUCUUAUGAUGGUUGUUGUUUAACGCAAAGACGGAAGGGCGGCGGCUAGGGUUCCACCACAUAACUUUGACCAGUUGUGGUUUCCGCCGGUUAUCGGUAGAUCAACCAGGAAUGAUAUUGUACGAGUUAUGCGAUUUGUUUGGAAUGUACAUGAUAGAUGAAACAAGUUAUGGACCAAAUCAUGUUGCUCUUGCUGGCCAAAAGAGUUCCAGUAACAAAGACCAAUCUUUGUACGCGUUGGUCGGGGUGACCAGAACCACUUAUGAGUUAUUUUCAAUAACUGGUUGUGGUAUUGAUAUCGGUAUUUAAAGAAAACUUUGACUGAGGAAUGUAUGCUUGCCUAAUUUGGUUGUUUGGAAGAGGGGAGAGUGAGUUUUCUGUUGGUAUAAGGCUAGCCUUGGUUCAACAGGAUUAAGACAGUUUGACUUAUAAGAAGUUAACCCAAAGUAGAAGUUGAAGAAUAUCAUGUUGGGGCAUCAUGAGGCAAAGGUAAAGUAUUAAUAUUAAAGCUCCAACAUAAUGAUGAUGCUGCUGCUCAAGUCUAUGGUCGAACUACAUAACCUGUGGAAAAGCAUAUGAAUAACUCUAUAAGUGUGUUUGUAUCUCACAACUUAAAUUAUCAUUUUCUCUAUAAUAUUUAUCUUCAUCUUACUGUAUAAAUGACAUUGUUAAUAAUAAACUUGGAAUAAAACGCUUAUGACACUGUUUUAAUAUACAUUUUAUUUAAUAUUGC